AAAACUUUCAACAACGGAUCUCUUGGCUCUGGCAUCGAUGAAGAACGCAGCGAAAUGCGAUAAGUAAUGUGAAUUGCAGAAUUCAGUGAAUCAUCGAAUCUUUGAACGCACAUUGCGCCCUCUGGUACUCCGGGGGGCAUGCCUGUUCGAGCGUCAUUG
rnacentral:rRNA from 1 species